AUGAAACAAAUGCACCCGUUCGACAUAUGGAUCAAUCUAGAGAGAGAGAGAGAGAGAGAGAGAGAGAGAGAGAGAGAGAGAGAGAGAGAGAGAGAGAGAGAUGUUAGCCUGUCCUCGCCGAUGUUCAAUAGGGCCGUGCUCGGCAUCGCCAUUCACCAGACCUUCCCAUGGCGAAGGGCGACAUCCAGUGCUAGAUCAGUUGGAGAAGUAGCUAGAGGAGGGCACCAACAGAGGCGUUCAAGGGAAGAACUUGGCUGCUCCUGCUCGCCUAGAUCCAUCGUUCCUCCUUCUACUCUGUCGUGGGGACUGGAGGAGGCGGACAUUGGCCUGCUACCAGUGUGUCGUAGAGGGGCCCAGGGCAGAGGCAGCAGAGCUUGUACCGGCCGCCAUUCCACAUCAGGCGGGAGUAAGAUGUGUCAGAGACUGAAAUCAGAGGGGGAGAGGCUAGCCCAGGUUCCCACAUCGACGGCGUGA
rnacentral:rRNA from 1 species